rnacentral:tRNA from 1 species
GAGGGUAUAGCUCAAGUGGUAAAGUGCAUGCUUAGCAUGCAUAAGGUCGUGGGUUCAAUCCCCAGUACCUCCC